AAUCCUUUAGAAGGAUUUCCAUCGGAUGGCAGAGAAGAUGGUGUGGAUGACGUAGAGCACAGUCGCCAUGUAUGAGAAGACCUGAAGACACCGAGACAGACAAUGUCAGUGGGAAGAAGAACCUGGCGGAGGGAGCAGAGAUGUCCAGCUGGUAGUUCUUGAAGACGCUCCCGUCUUUCAUGUCCAGGGUCACUUUAGCCAGAGCCACUGAAGCACUGAGGUAGAAGAAGGCGGCGACGCUGUGGUAGAUGAAAUCCUGACAGAGGAGGAGGACGAGGCGAACACCACCAACCAGAUGAAGGUCAUGACGAAGCAGAAGACGGAGACGAACAUGACCCAGCCCUGAGGGUUCUGCGGCACCACUAGUGUGCACGCCACCAGGAUCCACACCAGACCGCCGAAGAUCUGCGGGAACAGAGUGGAGACGCCACGUCACCCUCAAAACCAGUGUGUUUUUUUACGUUAAA